rnacentral:misc_RNA from 1 species
UUUGCUUGUGUUGGUUGGUUGGAUCCUUGCUCUGGCAACGAAAAAAUCCUCGCAUGCAUCUUCAGUCGGGUCUCGUGAUACGUGUUAUCUCGAGCUAUGAAUCGGUUUCCUGUGUUGCGUACCUCUAAAGAUGGCAAUCGGUAGUCCCAACGUCCCACUUCGCCUUGCGUUGUCCCUUUCCGGGGCGACGCGGGGUGAACCACGAAGCAAUCUCUGCGUCCCACUCCGCCCGCAUUAGGUUGUGGUCGUGGAUUGGUCCGCAGGGCAUUCGCUUGGGCUCUCGGAUGCGGUGCAUCAUACGCGGGCACGGGGACUCACGUCCUCUAUUUGCCCGAACAAAAGCUUUCAUCGCUUAGUUCGANCGAUUCGAUCCCC